rnacentral:lncRNA from 1 species
CAGGGCUUCUUUAUCCUGCUGUUUGGAACAAUCCUGGAUCCAAAGAUAAGAGAAGCCUUAAAGAGUCGAAUAACAUCUGCCAAAUGGAUCUCCAGAGUAUCAGAGGUAAAUAUUUACUUAUUUACUUAUUGACAAGGUAACAAUGUAAAACCUUUUGGUGUGGAUUUUUUUUCCCCCUGGGCGGGUGCAUCCUUGAACUGUUCAGAAUUCUUAGGGAGUAUGAUGUCCAAAUAUGAGGAUAAAAGUCAGUUGAAAUGUAUAAAGAGGGGGUGGCAAUU